GAUGAACGCUAGCUACAGGCUUAACACAUGCAAGUCGCGGGGUAACAUCUGGGAGAGCUUGCUCUUCCAGGAUGACGACCGGCGCACGGGUGAGUAACGCGUAUCCAACCUGGCCCAUACCACGGGAUAGCCCGUCGAAAGGCGGAUUAAUACCGUAUGCUGUCAUUAAGAUGCAUAUAUUGAUGACGAAAGGACUGGCGGUAUGGGAUGGGGAUGCGUCUGAUUAGCUUGUUGGCGGGGUAACGGCCCACCAAGGCGACGAUCGGUAGGGGUUCUGAGAGGAAGGUCCCCCACAUUGGAACUGAGACACGGGUCCAAACUCCUACGGGAGGCAGCAGUGAGGAAUAUUGGGUCAAUGGACGUAAGUCUGAACCAGCCAAGUAGCGUGCAGGAUGACGGCCCUAUGGGUUGUAAACUGCUUUUAUGCGGGGAUAAAGUGUGGGACGUGUCCCAUAUUGCAGGUACUGCAUGAAUAAGGACCGGCU
rnacentral:rRNA from 1 species